UACGGAGGGUGCGAGCGUUGUCCGGAAUCACUGGGCUUAAAGGGCGCGUAGGCGGGCUGUCAAGUCUGGGGUGAAAUCCCACGGCUCAACCGUGGAACUGCCUUAGAUACUGACGGCCUCGAGGGAGAUAAGGGCGAGCGGAACUGUGAGUGGAGCGGUGAAAUGCGUUGAUAUUCACAGGAACUCCGGUGGCGAAGGCGGCUCGCUGGAUCUUUUCUGACGCUGAGGCGCGAAAGCUAGGGGAGCAAACGGG
rnacentral:rRNA from 1 species